GACGAACGCUGGCGGCGUGCUUAACACAUGCAAGUCGAACGGUGAAGCGCCUUCCUUUUUGGUGGGUGUGGAUGAGUGGCGAACGGGUGAGUAACACGUGAGUAACCUGCCCCCUUCUUCUGGAUAACCGCAUGAAAGUGUGGCUAAUACGGGAUAUUCUGGGUCUGUCGCAUGAUGGGUCUGGGAAAGAUAUUGUUUCGGUGGGGGAUGGGCUCGCGGCCUAUCAGCUUGUUGGUGGGGUGAUGGCCUACCAAGGCGGUGACGGGUAGCCGGCAUGAGAGGGUGGACGGUCACACUGGGACUGAGACACGGCCCAGACUCCGACGGGAGGCAGCAGUGGGGAAUAUUGCACAAUGGGCGCAAGCCUGAUGCAGCGACGCCGCGUGAGGGAUGGAGGCCUUCGGGUUGUGAACCUCUUUCGCCAGUGAAGCAGGCCUGCCUCGUUUGUGGGUGGGUUGACGGUAGCUGGAUAAGAAGCGCCGGCUAACUACGUG
rnacentral:rRNA from 1 species